GACGAACGCUGGCGGCGUGCUUAACACAUGCAAUUCAACCGAAAGGCCCUUCUUUUGUUGGGUUUCCGGGUGGCGAACGGGUGAGUAAUACGUGAGUCACCUGCCCCUGCCUUUUGGUUUACUUUAAGAUACUGGGGCUUACACCGGUAACGCAUUCCACCUGCGUGGUGGGGGUUGGGAACUUUCGGCCGUUGGGGAUUGACUCGCGGGUUAUCGGCUUGUUGGUGGGGGAGUGGAUUACCCAGGCUUUGCCCGGUAGCCGGCCUGAGAGGGGGACCUGCCACAAUGGGACUGAGAGAGGGCGCAGACGCCAAUAGGAGGCAGCAGGGGGGAAUAUUGCACAAUGGGCGGGAGCCGGAUGCAGCAACGCCGCGUGCGGGAUGACGGCCUUCGGGUUGUGAACCGCUUUAGCCUGUGACGAAGCGUGAGUGACGGUAAUGGGUAAAGAAGCACCGGCUAACUACGUG
rnacentral:rRNA from 1 species